UGAUUAUGACAGGCGUGCAACGGCACACAUCCACAGAGCACUCUUCAAAUCAUCUACACAGUGGUUAUCCAACUAGGAUUAUAAAGGCACACAUUGACAUAGACCACUGUUGCAAUGAACGACACAGUCGCUAUCCAAGUAGCAUUAUAGAGGUAAUUAUCAUUAUCAUACCUCAUUAGCAUGUGAACCAAUCGC